UAGCUUAACUUUUUUUAGA
rnacentral:tRNA from 1 species